CCAUUGGAUACAGACGCGGAAGUGAAGCAGACACUUGCUAACAACAACAAGGAGCUUCUUUCUGCUGCUGAACUUUUGUCUCCCGGACAGACAAUGGCUCUCCCGCCUCAGCUCAAGUCCCUCCAGCACCACCUGAGGACGGCUCAGGAACACGAGAAACGGGACCCGGUCGUCGCUUACUACUGUCGUCUGUACGCCAUGCAGACCGGCAUGAAGCUGGACAG